rnacentral:lncRNA from 1 species
ACACCAGUUAAAAUAUUUAACUUAAGAAUCAUUUCUCCCCCCAGAUCAUCGCUGUUAGAACUGCAUAAUUCCAGCCCUCACAAAGGGAAAGUUGAUGGCAAGGGGCUGGGAUCCCCUUGCUGCAUACCCCAAGGAAAGGGGCUGAUGGUACCCGGACAGGCUCACAGGGAACCCUCGGCAGCAUCACAGGGGCAUGGAUGAGAGCAAGCCCUGCUGCAUUCUGUUUGCAUCUCAGGAAGAGCAGCGUGGCCAGCUGAGCUUGUGCAGCCCCAUUCCCCUCUCCGGCUGGGCAGCACAAGGAGCUGAAAAGUCCUUGACUUAGUGUCAGCACCGCUCCGCAACCACUGAAACAUCAGCGAGUUAUCAGCACUGUUUUCCUCCUCAAUCCAAAACACUACAACAUAGCAGGUAUUAUGGAGAACAUUAACUCUGCCUCAGCCAAAACCAGGACACAUUUCCAGCCUCAUUGGCAGAGGCACAGGUGCUCCAUGGCUCAGUACCCAGACUCUUCUCCAUCGAGGACACCGACACCAGACAGAGCUGGCCCUCUGGAGCUGCCCAUCCCUCUCCAGGGGAGGUAGGGGAUACCUGAGAGUUCAGCAGAGGGGAUGUGCUGCUGCCUCAGAUGGCCUCAGCUGCAGGAGAUAAUCCUGCUGGGGAGCUGCCCCAUGAGGUGGGCAAGCCGGGAGCUGGAGGUUAUCUCAGGAGAAGAGUGGAGACACUGUCUACAGCAGAGACUCUGGGUCCAGCCAGGACAGGCAGGUUACUUACAGUGCAGAUCCAACAAGGAGAAAGGGCUAGGGACAGACUCCCUACAGAAGAGGUUUCAGGUCUGGUUUCAGGUCUGGACAGAAAGCAUGGCAGGAGAUGAGAACCUGUCCAAGGUCUAUCCAGGAGGCAGGGCUAGAAACACACCUACAACAUAGCUCAGGGACAGAGAAAGGGAGAAGGCAGAGGGCUCUCCUUAAAUACAAGUCCUGGGCCAUGGGAAGAGGCGGUGGCUAGGUGUCCCAGGUGAAGCUGCUGAGUGCAGUUAAGGCCAAUUAGUGCCUUUAGGGCACUGCCAGAAGCAUGUCUAGGAGCAGAAAAAAGGAAUGGUGACCUAACAAGACAAAUUAAGGACUACCAGCAGCAUCCACUCUGGGCGGGCACCUACACAGCAGAGAGGAGAGAUGCUGCCGUCACCACGGCACGUGCAAGAAAAGAGCUGAUGCAGGGAGGAUGCACAGGCACCAAAGGCACACAAAGCCUCCUACAGCCCGAGAUCUUCACCUCUGCUCCUCUGCAUGGCAUCUGUGAGAUGUGCAGAGCAAAGCCAGUAGCAGGGAGGGGAGGAGAAAUGUGAACUGCUAUCUGCUGAUCUCAGAGCCGCCAGCCACGAGGGCAGCUUCCAGGAGCACAUUGCUGUAUUGUGCAGCAGAGGGAGGCCGUCAGAGCACGCUUUGACUUCGUGCCAGGCCUAGGCAGUGUGCUGCUUUGUAUUAAUUUGUGUAACUUCAUGAAUAAACUGUGCUUGGCUUGUAUAUGAAUUUUAAAU